GCUCGGGUGGUGGAAUUGGUAGACACGUACGCUUGAGGUGCGUAUGCUUUACGGCGUGGGGGUUCAAGUCCCCCCUCGAGUA
rnacentral:tRNA from 1 species